rnacentral:rRNA from 1 species
CUAAUUGAUGGCGACCGGUGGACGGGUGCGUAACGCGUAUGCAACCUACCCUUUACAGGGGGAUAACACUGAGAAAUCGGUACUAAUACCCCAUAAUAUUCUGGGAGGCAUCUUUCGGAGUUGAAAGCUUUGGUGGUAAAGGAUGGGCAUGCGUUGUAUUAGCUAGUUGGUAAGGUAACGGCUUACCAAGGCGACGAUACAUAGGGGGACUGAGAGGUUAACCCCCCACAUUGGUACUGAGACACGGACCAA